GUGGGGAAUAGGGCCCUGUAACUCAUUAUAGGAUAUAUUCACUACUGUCAGGCUCGAUAAAUAGUAAUCAAAAGUAGUUGGAAUCGAACCUGACAGCAAAUUGUGGGGAGAGGUUCAAUGUCUCCAGUCUUUGCAACUCUCCCAGUUGUGGUGGUAUCUCUGCUGUUAGCAAAUUUUGACUAAGAUCAAGACUCUCAAGAGAGCGUAAAUUGCCAAACUCUACAGGAAUACUCUCUGCCAAUUUGUUCUUGCUGAGAUUCAAGAACAAUAGCUUUGAGCAAUCUCCAAGUUGUUUGGGAAUUGCUCCACUUAGAUUGUUAGCUGCCAAGUUAAGACGCUCAAGAUCAGAUAACAAUCCAAUUUCUUCAGGAA
rnacentral:misc_RNA from 1 species